GUAACAUCCCUCAUUUCCGAAUUUUCGUAUAAAUUUCUGGUGAUAAUGUAAGCAUCUAUUUUAAAUUGACAAAAGAAAUAGAGUAUGAAUCAGAGGUAACUUAUUUUUAAGAUUUGGGAGAUCUGUUCAAAAAAAAAAAAAGAAAGAAUCUGAGGACCUAUAUGUAAACCCUAAGGACCUAAUCGUGAAUAUGAUAAAAACAAGGACUAAACUACAAAACGUACAAAAUGACAAAUCCCACCGCUUAAGCCUCUCUACCUUCGUUCUUAAGGAAGCAGAGAAGGCAGCUGCGUGGAUGAUCAGGGAAAGAAAGAAAGAAGAAGAAGAAGAAGGAGAAGAAGAAGAA
rnacentral:lncRNA from 1 species